UACGGAGGGUGCAAGCGUUGCUCGGAAUUACUGGGCGUAAAGCGCGUGUAGGCGGGCUAGUAAGUCGGACGUGAAAUCCCUGGGCUCAACCCAGGAACUGCAUCCGAAACUAUUAGCCUUGAGUGGUGGAGAGGGAAGCAGAAUUCCUGGUGUAGAGGUGAAAUUCGUAGAUAUCAGGAGGAACACCGGUGGCGAAGGCGGCUUCCUGGACACUAACUGACGCUGAGACGCGAAAGCGUGGGGAGCAAACAGG
rnacentral:rRNA from 1 species